AAAGAUAAAAUUAAUGAAUUUGAUUUAAAUGAUUAUUCAGGUCUAUAUCAGCAGAGAAACAUUUUAUUUUUAAGAAAGCAGACUUUGUUUCAAACAGUAUUGAGUUUUUCAGCGGAUAGAUGCUUGUUGGUGGAGCAGGAGGUUUUUGUACAGCCACUCAAUGGGUUUGUGUCACUGUGGUUCACGUUUGGUGGAGGAACAAAACUCUUCAUUGAUUUGGGUGUGGUGCGGCCCACCCUGACCGUCCUCCCCCCCUCCACAGAGGAGCUGCAGCAGGGCGCAGCCACACUGGUGUGUCUGGCCAGCGGCGGCUUCCCCUCCGCCUGGAGUCUGAGCUGGAAGCUGGGGGGCAGCAGCUCCUCCUCAGGGGUGUCACACAGCCAGGAGUUCCUGGGGAGGGACGGCCGCUACAGCUGGAGCAGCACCCUGAGCCUCACUGCAGACCAGUGGAGGAAGGCGGGCUCAGUGAGCUGUGAGGCGGGUCUGGAUGGACAGAGCCCUGUCACUCAAACCCUGGACCCUGACCGCUGCUCCGAGUAGAGCUUCAGCAACACGUCCUGUGUGGAAAUGAUGCAGCUUCUUUGGUGGAUUUCAUAGCUACAGAUCUCCUCUGUUUCUCAGCUCUCAGAGUCUGUUACUUUCUGAUAUUCUUCUUUUUGUUCAUUACUUUAAAAAUUAAACUGAAUUAAAGAAUGUUUUUCCAUCCAUGAUCAUUCGUUGAUUCAUUAAAAAUGUGACGUUUUGAUACAACUAUGAAUAAAAAAGUGGAUUAUAAUGA